rnacentral:rRNA from 1 species
ACCAACAGGGAUUGCCCUAGUAACGGCGAGUGAAGCGGGAACAGCUCAAAUUUGAAAUCUGGCCUUCUGGCCCGAGUUGUAAUUUGCAGAGGUAGAAUUGUAGGCUGGUGCCUUCUGAGUUCCCUGGAACGGGACGCCUUAGAGGGUGAGAGCCCCGUACAGUUGGCCACCAGCCUAUUGUAAUUCGCCUUCGACGAGUCGAGUAGUUUGGGAAUGCUGCUCUAAAUGGGAGGUAAAUUUCUUCUAAAGCUAAAUACCGGCCAGAGACCGAUAGCGCACAAGUAGAGUGAUCGAAAGAUGAAAAGCACUUUGAAAAGAGGGUUAAAUAGCACGUGAAAUUGUUGAAAGGGAAGCACUUAUGACCAGACUUUCUCCUAGGGGAUCAUCCGGUGUUCUCACCGGUGCACUUCCCUAGGUUUGGGCCAGCGUCGAUUCCCGUAGGGGGAGAAAGGCUGCGGGAAUGUGACUCCUCCCGGGGAGUGUUAUAGCCCGCAGCGUAAUACCCCUACGGGGAUCGAGGGUAGCGCUUUUGCAAGGACGCUGGCAUAAUGGUCAUCAGUGACCCGUCUUGAAACACGGACCAAGGAGUCGAACAUUUAUGCGAGUGUUUGGGUGUUAAAACCCUUACGCGUAAUGAAAGUGAACGGAGGUGAGAGCCCUUACGGGUGCAUCAUCGACCGAUCCUGAUGGUUUCGGAUGGAUUUGAGUAAGAGCAUAGCUGUUCGGACCCGAAAGAUGGUGAACUAUGCGUGGAUAGGGUGAAGCCAGAGGAAACUCUGGUGGAGGCUCGCAGCGGUUCUGACGUGCAAAUCGAUCGUCAAAUCUGCGCAUGGGGGCGAAAGACUAAUCGAACCAU